rnacentral:rRNA from 1 species
AGAGUUUGAUCCUGGCUCAGGAUGAACGCUGGCGGCGUGCCUAAUACAUGCAAGUCGAACGAGGUGCUUUUGUAGCAAUACGAGAGUAUCCUAGUGGCGAACGGGUGAGUUAACGCGUUGGUGACUACCCCAAAGUGUGGGAUAACAGUCCGAAAGGAUUGCUAAUACCGCAUGUGGUCUUCGGAUUUAGAAACUGAUGACUAAAGGAGCAAUUCGCUUUGGGAGGGACCUGCGUCCCAUCAGCUAGUUGGUGAGGUAAUGGCUCACCAAGGCUACGACGGGUAGGGGACCUGAGAGGGUGACCCCCCACAAUGGAACUGAAACACGGUCCAUACACCUACGGGUGGCAGCAGUAGGGAAUAUUGCACAAUGGGCGAAAGCCUGAUGCAGCAACGCCGCGUGUGCGAUGAAGGCCUUCGGGUCGUAAAGCACUUUUCUGGGAGAUGAGCAAGGACAGUAUCUCAGGAAUAAGUCUCGGCUAACUACGUG